AGUACAUGUGUCGGCCUACUGUAUUUAAGCAGCUAUUGUUUGUUGUAUUUCAACACAGCGCCUGUUUCACAGAUCCCAUUCUCCAAUAAAAAUGCACGCGCCUGUUUCGACAAUAACCAAUCAGAUUGAUGGGUAUUGAAGCAACGCCCGCGCGCUAUGUUCUUGAAGCAGUAUUUUGUCAUACAUUCGCGGGAGAACAGCUUUGCAAAGUUUUGUCAGCAACUAUUUAAUUUAAUGUCAUUUAUUUGAGGUACUUGGCAGACGGUAGCUGCGUGUUAUUAGUACAACCUUUACAGUCUGUUGGCUGCACACUACUAGACAGCUAACAACAUAACUGGCAAACUUUUUGAAAGAGGUCUGUCGUUUUGAUCCAAAGUAUCUAAUAUGGCAACCAUGUGUCACUCAAGACGUGCCCUGAUGGAAAUCCCAGCUCCACAGCCGAAAAUUGCAGCUCGACUGAGAAGGUCAUACCUGGAGGUUCUAAGUUCACGCAUAGCUCCAUUCUCAACCACCUCUAGAGGCAGAAACCUGACCAGCAACUCAAAACGUGGGCAUUCAUUGAACCCAGCCAUAUACAGAACAGGGAGUAGUCGGAGUGAGGCCCAAAGUGAGAGAAUGGAAGACAACCAGACACCCCUGUCCAACCAGCAGCUUGUGCAGCUCAUAAGAUCUUUCAUCUUAGUAGAACAGGGGCAGAGGCAGGAGCCCAGAGCCCUCACUACGGACCUGAAACCUUUACAGGAGGACCUGCACCUGAAGAAGACCAAUGUCUAUAGAUCUAUACCCUACUCACGCCUGGGGUCCAACAGAGACGCACACUGUUACAGAAAGGCAUAUCCACACCUGGUGGUGUUUAAAGUUUCCUGCCAGGAGUGGGGUCAGCUGCUGCUGCAGAAUGAGGAGUGGGAGUCUGCUCUGGAGCACGCCCUAGUGGCGUGGAGGUACACCAGUGAACUGCCACAGUGGGACACCAGCAGCCACAACUUGGUGAGGGAACAGUGUUACAGCAUGCUGGCAGCACACUGCAUCACAGCUCUACAGCACUAUUGCCCAGACCCCAGCAAAGCAAUAGAGCUGCACAGGAGGUUUAAAAUGGCACAGCUGCACAGUCAGUUGAUCUAUCCUUGUAUUCAGGAGCUGGAGAGAAGCCUCGGCGAAGCACAGGUUUGUUCCAUGAACACCCGCUGAAAUGGCCAACCUGCUGAAAUGGCCAACACUAAGAUCAGCUGACAACAAUCAGCACGGCUUCCAAGUCUAUGGGGUUGCACUAUUGAACAGCGUAUAUCAGUGGUUGCCAUUCAACUAUGUUUGGUAUCCUUGCCUUGUGUUGCGCUAUUCCCCCUUGCCUACAGUAUUCCGCCUUGCCUUGCCUACAGUAUUCCCUCAGAGUAAAUACAAGAGAAAGCUUUGAAUUUUGGUAAGCUGUUUUUUAAAUAUGAAUUUAAGUUUUUGUAUUUAAGUUGUUUUGUAAAAUGUGUUUAUUGCCAUUGAACUAUUGAAUGUUAUCAUAAGGAAAGUAUGAAAUGGCCUUUAAAAUGUGAAAUGCUGUCAUAGGGAAAUUAUGAAUGUCCUUUUCACCAAGAUGUUUUAUAUGUGGGGGAUGUUUUUGUGGAUGUUUUGAAAAAUGCCAUGAUACAGCUGCCUUAUUUCAACUUGGCUGAAUGCUACCUGUCUUGUAAAUAUUUGUCUAAAGUAACUGUUUUGCACUGUUUUCUUCAUCCUGGAAACUUGACAUUUUGAUAAUAGAAUCUAAUUUAAUAAAAUUCUACUUAGUUUUUCAACAUUCUGUUGUCAAUUUCUGGUUUUGUCUCAUCUAAAACACAUGCCACUGAUUUACUGUUUUGAGACAUUGGAGACCUGCUUUGUCACUG
rnacentral:lncRNA from 1 species